GAUGAACGCUGGCGGCGUGCCUAAUACAUGCAAGUCGAGCGAACAGACGAGGAGCUUGCUCCUCUGACGUUGGCGGCGGACGGGUGAGUAACACGUGGAUAACCUACCUAUAAGACUGGGAUAACUUCGGGAAACCGGAGCUAAUACCGGAUAAUAUAUUGAACCGCAUGGUUCAAUAGUUAAAGACGGUUUUGCUGUCACUUAUAGAUGGAUCCGCGCCGCAUUAGCUAGUUGGUAAGGUAACGGCUUACCAAGGCAACGAUGCGUAGCCGACCUGAAAGGGUGGUCGGCCACAGUUGAACUAAGACACGGGCAAGCCUCCUACGGGAGGCAGCGGUAGGGAAUCUUCCGCAAUGGGCGGAAGCCUGACGGAGAAACACCGCGGUAGUGAUGAAGGUGUUCGGAUCGUAAACCUCUGUUAUUAGGGAAGAACAAAUGUGUAAGUAACUAUGCACGUCUUGACGGUACCUAAUCAGAAAGCCACGGCUAACUACGUGCCAGCCGCCGCCGUAA
rnacentral:rRNA from 1 species